GACGAACGCUGGCGGCGUGCUUAACACAUGCAAGUCGAACGGAAAGGCCCUGCUUUUGUGGGGUGCUCGAGUGGCGAACGGGUGAGUAACACGUGAGUAACCUGCCCUUGACUUUGGGAUAACUUCAGGAAACUGGGGCUAAUACCGGAUAGGAGCUCCUGCUGCAUGGCGGGGGUUGGAAAGUUUCGGCGGUUGGGGAUGGACUCGCGGCUUAUCAGCUUGUUGGUGGGGUAGUGGCUUACCAAGGCUUUGACGGGUAGCCGGCCUGAGAGGGUGACCGGCCACAUUGGGACUGAGAUACGGCCCAGACGCCUACGGGGGGAAGCAGGGGGGAAUAUUCCACAAGGGGCGGAAGCCUGAUGCAGAAACGCCGCGUGCGGGAUGACGGCCUUCGGGUUGAAACCGCUUUCGCCUGUGACGAAGCGUGAGUGACGGUAAUGGGUAAAGAAGCACCGGCUAACUACGUG
rnacentral:rRNA from 1 species